UCUCCGUAGGUGAACCUGCGGAGGGAUCAUUACUGAGUGAGGGCUUCGGUCCGACCUCCAACCCUUUGUGAACCAAACUUGUUGCUUCGGGAGCGACCCUGCCGCUUCGGCGGUGCGGCGCCCCCGGAGGCCAUUAAACACUGCAUCAUUGCGUCGGAGUUAAAGUAAAUUAAACAAAACUUUCAACAACGGAUCUUUUGUUUCUGGCAUCGAUAAAGAACGCAGC
rnacentral:misc_RNA from 1 species